rnacentral:rRNA from 1 species
AUUGAACGCUGGCGGCAUGCUUUACACAUGCAAGUCGAACGGUAACAGGCCUUCGGGUGCUGACGAGUGGCGGACGGGUGAGUAAUGCAUCGGAACGUACCCAGAGGUGGGGGAUAACGCAGCGAAAGCUGUGCCAAUACCGCAUGUGAUCUGAGGAUGAAAGCGGGGGACCGAGCAGCAAUGUUUGGCCUCGCGCCUUUGGAGCGGCCGAUGUCGGAUUAGCUAGUUGGUGGGGUAAAGGCCUACCAAGGCGACGAUCCGUAGCUGGUCUGAGAGGACGACCAGCCACACUGGGACUGAGACACGGCCCAGACUCCUACGGGAGGCAGCAGUGGGGAAUUUUGGACAAUGGGCGCAAGCCUGAUCCAGCAAUGCCGCGUGCGGGAAGAAGGCCUUCGGGUUGUAAACCGCUUUUGGCAGGAACGAAACGGUGUCCGCUAAUACCGGGCGCUAAUGACGGUACCUGCAGAAUAAGCACCGGCUAACUACGUG